GUAGGGGUGCAAGCGUUAUCCGGAAUCAUUGGGCGUAAAGAGCUCGUAGGGCGGUUCAGCAAGUCGGGCUGUGAAAUCCCGAGGCUUAACCUCGGAACUGCAGUCGAUACUGCUGUGACUAGAGUCCGGUAGAGGAGAAUGGAAUUCCCGGUGUAGCGGUGAAAUGCGCAGAUAUCGGGAGGAACACCAGUAGCGAAGGCGGUUCUCUGGGCCGGUACUGACGCUGAGGAGCGAAAGCGUGGGUAGCAAACAGGAUUAGAUACCCUGGUAGUCCACGCCGUAAACGUUGGACACUAGGUGUGGCGUUCCGACCAACGGGUGCCGUGCCGAAGCUAACGCAUUAAGUGUCCCGCCUGGGGAGUACGGCCGCAAGGCUA
rnacentral:rRNA from 1 species